CCUGAGAAACCCAAAAGAUCGAAUGGGGAGAUUCAUCGUCAGCGACGUUGGCUUCCGUGCGGCUCGCGAUGGCCGGGACCUCGGUCUCGCGUCACGCGGUCGCCGCGGUAUGUCCGGCGUCGUCGGCGUGCACUUCUCCCCUAGUAGGACGUCGCGACCCGUUGGGUGUCGGAUCAAUGGCCGGUCGGUCGUCUGUUGCGCCUCGGUGCGGCAGACCGUCCGGUUCAACGUCCGGCUGCCCGGCGGUAUAGAACGCUUAAUCACGGUAAUGGGCCGCAGCUCGAAUGCGUUCAGGCCCGUCGGCAGGCUCGUCUCGCUCGGAUUUACGGACCUAGCGCCGUUGCCGGGCGCUUGGCGCGGCCGUUAGUCGACGGUGUCCUCGGACUGGCUCUUACCGGUCUGCGACGCUACUGCUUUGGGUACUUUC
rnacentral:rRNA from 1 species